rnacentral:lncRNA from 1 species
AAUACCCCGACGUUACUCGGACUACCCCGAUGCAUACACCACAUGAAAUAUCCUAUCAUCUGUAGGCUCAUUCAUUUCCCUAACAGCAGUAAUAUAUUGAGGGGAAUUAAUCUAAAACACUCUUUACGCCGGUUUCUAUUGACUUGGGUUAAUCGUGUGACCGCGGUGGCUGGCACGAAAUUGACCAACCCUGGAGUUAGUAUAGCUUAGUUAAACUUUCGUUUAUUGCUAAAGGUUUAUCACUGCUGUCUCCCAUGGGGGUGUGGCUAGGCUAAGCGUUUUGAGCUGCAUUGCUGCGUGCUUGGUCCUGGCCUUUCUAUUAGCUCUUAGUAAGAUUACACAUGCAAGCAC